UACGGAGGGAGCUAGCGUUAUUCGGAAUUACUGGGCGUAAAGCGCACGUAGGCGGCUUUGUAAGUAAGAGGUGAAAGCCCAGAGCUCAACUCUGGAAUUGCCUUUUAGACUGCAUCGCUUGAAUCAUGGAGAGGUCAGUGGAAUUCCGAGUGUAGAGGUGAAAUUCGUAGAUAUUCGGAAGAACACCAGUGGCGAAGGCGGCUGACUGGACAUGUAUUGACGCUGAGGUGCGAAAGCGUGGGAGCAAACAGG
rnacentral:rRNA from 1 species